AAAAAGAAGAAGAAGAAGAAGAAGAAGAAGAAGAAGAAGAACCAGAAAAAGAGCACCAGGGAAUAAAGAACGUGACAAUAAAAGAACAUGACAAAGUCUUGGAGAACCACUUGUCAAGGAGCAAUCUUGGAGGGAUGAAUGCCCAUACUUACUUUCGCAGUGGUAAAAUGGCUGCAGCUAAGAGAAGGAAAGGCGGACAAGAACUUUUUAAAUGACGGCGGCUGUGGGAUCUGGCAUUCAGUGAAAAAAUUACAGCUAAGUGUAAAGUUUUUAGAGAGGAAUCAAGGACAGAUAUGUUUAUUGAGAUAUGGCAGCCAUGUAUUGGUUUUGUAAAAGAAUAUAUGUGAUGCCCCAAGCUUCCUGCAAUUUUAGUAUAAAUAAAUAUUCAAAGAAUUUGUUACAGGACUCAGCCAUACUUUACAAGUGUGAAAAAUUCAGUUAUUCACAAGAAGGGAAAAAGAGAGACUCACUAAACCAUCCUCUUUGGGAGGAUUUAUUUUCAUUUUUUUCAUAUGGUAGAGUAUAUAUAUAAUUAGAUA